rnacentral:rRNA from 1 species
AACGAACGCUGGCGGCAGGCUUAACACAUGCAAGUCGAACGCACCUUUCGGGGUGAGUGGCAGACGGGUGAGUAACGCGUGGGAAUCUACCCUUCUCUACGGGAUGGCUCCGGGAAACUGGAAUUAAUACCGUAUACGUCCUGAGGGAGAAAGAUUUAUCGGGGAAGGAUGAGCCCGCGUUGGAUUAGCUAGUUGGUGGGGUAAAGGCCUACCAAGGCGACGAUCCAUAGCUGGUCUAAGAGGAUGAUCAGCCACAUUGGGACUGAGACACGGCCCAAACUCCUCCGGGAGGCAGCAGUGGGGAAUAUUGGACAAUGGGCGCAAGCCUGAUCCAGCCAUGCCGCGUGAGUGAUGAAGGCCCUAGGGUUGUAAAGCUCUUUCAGUGGGGACGAUAAUGACGGUACCCACAGAAGAAGCCCCGGCUAACUUCGUG